GUUCACCGUUAGGGCUUCCUGUCGACGGAAAUCAUUAGGGCAGAGCGAUAGAGCAGACCUCCACCCCUUCCGCCCUUCGGAUGCGAGAUCUAGUGCCAGAAACACUACAUGCCAACGCAUUCUGUGACUGUCCGGGCCUGUACUUGCGUCGAAGAUGUAUUCCUUUACACCAACCUUGGUUGCCGUCCUGACUCUGGUGGUUACGGCAUCUGCCGUCUGCCCCAGGUAUCCCGUUGACUUUGGUGGCUGCGACAAGGCCCUGUACAACUGCACACAGUCUAUGUGCGAUCGCCGUGGCCUCGACUGCUGUGACACCGUCUGUGGCACCAAACGAUGCGUACUUGGUGAACUACAAGUCCAGGCCGUGCCCGAGUACGCAGCACGCAGUCCGUACGAGGGCGAGCGUUGGUGCCACGAGUGCUCCGUCAGGUGUCGAAGCUGUAUCGAUUACUGCAAAAAUGUAAAGAAGUUCGACCCCUACACGUCAAUGUGGUGCGACCGCUGCUGGGAGGUCUGCAGGACAUGCACGUCCCGUUGUGCCCUUUAAACCAAGUAUUGUUGCUUCAGCUUUGGCGCUUGGUUUCCGUUUGAAUGCUUUCUACUUCCAAGUCUAAAGUACAAUAAAUAUUCGUUUCGGUAACGGA